rnacentral:rRNA from 1 species
GUGGGGAAUAUUGGACAAUGGGCGAAAGCCUGAUCCAGCCAUGCCGCGUGUGUGAAGAAGGUCUUCGGAUUGUAAAGCACUUUAAGUUGGGAGGAAGGGCAGUAAGUUAAUACCUUGCUGUUUUGACGUUACCGACAGAAUAAGCACCGGCUAACUUCGUGCCAGCAGCCGCGGUAAUACGAAGGGUGCAAGCGUUAAUCGGAAUUACUGGGCGUAAAGCGCGCGUAGGUGGUUUUGUAAGUUGGAGGUGAAAUCCCCGGGCUCAACCUGGGAACUGCCUCCAAAACUGCAGGACUAGAGUACGGUAGAGGGUAGUGGAAUUUCCUGUGUAGCGGUGAAAUGCGUAGAUAUAGGAAGGAACACCAGUGGCGAAGGCGACUACCUGGACUGAUACUGACACUGAGGUGCGAAAGCGUGGGGAGCAAACAGGAUUAGAAACCCGAGUAGUCC